rnacentral:lncRNA from 1 species
GGUGAAUUGGGUCUUUUAAAACUUUUAAACUACUUCUAGUACUUUUUGAUUAAUUAUGCUAAGUUGUAUAUAUGCGCAGUGAAAGUUAAACUUAGCAACAGUUUGAUGUAUAGAAUGUGACUUGAUUAAAUAUGCUUGCAACUAAAGGAUGUCCAGAUAAGAGUUAAGCAAGCAGUUUAUCUAAGUAAGUGAGUGUGUUAGUUAGACCAUAAGCAGAAGCAUUACAAACACAACAAACAUAUAGUGGUUCGGUGCACCCCAGCACCUACAUCCACUCCCCAAGACUUCUUGGGAAUUUCACUAU